AAAACGACUCUCGGCAACGGAUAUCUCGGCUCUCGCAUCGAUGAAGAACGUAGCAACUGCGAUACAUGGUGUGAAUUGCAGAAUCCCGUGAACCAUCGAGUCUUUGAACGCAAGUUGCGCCCGAAGCCAUCAGGCCGAGGGCACGUCUGCCUGGGCGUCACG
rnacentral:rRNA from 1 species